rnacentral:rRNA from 1 species
UGGGGAAUAUUGCGCAAUGGGCGCAAGCCUGAUCCAGCCAUACCGCGUGGGUGAAGAAGGCCUUCGGGUUGUAAAGCCCUUUUGUUGGGAAAGAAAUCCAGCUGGCUAAUACCCGGUUGGGAUGACGGUACCCAAAGAAUAAGCACCGGCUAACUUCGUGCCAGCAGCCGCGGUAAUACGAAGGGUGCAAGCGUUACUCGGAAUUACUGGGCGUAAAGCGUGCGUAGGUGGUCGUUUAAGUCCGUUGUGAAAGCCCUGGGCUCAACCUGGGAACUGCAGUGGAUACUGGACGACUAGAGUGUGGUAGAGGGUAGCGGAAUUCCUGGUGUAGCAGUGAAAUGCGUAGAGAUCAGGAGGAACAUCCAUGGCGAAGGCAGCUACCUGGACCAACACUGACACUGAGGCACGAAAGCGUGGGGAGCAAACAGGAUUAGAUACCCUAGUAGUCCCUGAGCGGGCUGGCAAGGCGCAU